rnacentral:rRNA from 1 species
UGCGGCUGGAACCCCUCCUUUCU